rnacentral:lncRNA from 1 species
AUGGCGAUGGCAGUGGCAGUGGUGGUGCACGGUGAGUUUGGGGAUAUGGUUAUAGCAGAGAUAUAAUUUGGGGAAGAAGAUGAGAUAUAAUUUUAUUUUAUUAUUUUAACUAGGAGUAGCGCCCGCCGCGUUGCGGCCGGGUACACAUUAAUUUAUGAUGGAAUGGAAGCUGAGUCUUUGUUACAUAAGGAUGUUUCUUUCAGUAACAUCUACAAAUAGCAUAUACAAAAUGGUCUCUAAACAGUAAACACCGACUUCUUUAGGUUCUUGUAAAUUGAAGAUUAAAAGAUUCACUUAAAGAUCUUCUAUUCUCACUUGAUGCUUAGUCAAGUGACUCAUCUGACUUGACUUUUAUUAGUCAUCAGCAUUUACCAUCUGUUCUAAAGAUCCCUUUAAUUCCCACUUUCGGUUGCCUAACUUUCUCGAUUUGCUUUUGCACUCUACCUUCAGUCUAUCUUCAAUUCCCCUUAUAUUUCUCAUUUUCUCUAGCACCUCACCUGCGCUCCAUAACUUCAAUCUGCCUUUAAUUCAUCUUCAACUCAACCCUUUUUACACAUCUCAAUCUAAAUCUUUCAUCCAACCAUAAAGAUUUAUCACUCUUCAAAACUAAAUGAAUUGUCGUCGCAUAAACCUCAUAUCCAUCUCCUCAUUAAGCGCAACCUUUAGUUACCUGCAAUAUUCUUUAGAUGACUUGACCUUUGGAAAAUGAAUUGCAUGACACCUCACUACCGUUGACUUUUCCUUUCCAUAUAUCACCAAAAAUAGACUGUGCCAAAAACAUUAACUUGUUAAAUAGAUAUGAAGCCAGUUUUAAUCAUCCUUUAAAUAAAAUGUCCCAAAAAGCCUCAAAAUAAUUAUUAGUUAAUUACCUCAUUAGCUUUAAGCAUGUAUAUGUUUUUAAAUCCAACUCAAAACCAUAGAAUUACAGUAGCAAGAAGCUUCAUGGAAAGAAACUGCAAAUUUGUUUAUUAAUUAUCAACAAACUAAGUUUUUUUUUAUUUAACUUAAAUAGAUAAAUACCAAUAAAAUAUAUAACUCAACUUGAUUGUGUAAGGACUGAACAUAUCAUCCAACAUGAGGGCCUUUCCAGUUACCUACAUAUCAAUCAAUCCCAUAUGAAAACGUGAGAUCAUAUAUAAUUAACAUAUUAUUCUGAUUAUAGGUUGUUAGAAUAAGCCAAUCUUCUUUUUUUAAUAGAUAAAGACAGAAAGAAAGAAGACCAAUUAACCUUGUCACACCUAGUACAAUGGCUUGUAACAGCUUCAUCCUUCCACUUAUUUUCUCUCUUCUCACCUGAAAAAAUAUAUAUUUGUUUGUUAUUAAUAAUCAGUUUCAUAUUAUUCAAAAAUCUAAAAAAAAUUAAGAUGGUAUUAAUGCGAAUAGAAGUAUGAAAAUGUGGACGAUGGGUACCCUUUCAGUAAAGCAUGGCUAUCAGUAGCUUGGCCUCGUCCUGCUUUAACAUGAAUGAACUCAACAAAGAAAGAUUCUUUAGCGUUUAGAUGUAGAAGAACAGAAUGAAUGGAUUGAUUUAUAUUAGAUGAGAUAAGAUCAAACUUACGGGAUAACCUAUUCUAGCAAUUUAUAUAAAAGUACGACAUGAAAAGCAAUGCCACGUCGAUGAACAUUAUACAAACAUACCUUUAAUUCCAAGGAUCGUAGGAGGAUUCAUGAAGUAAUGUCCAAGGAUAAGAAGAAAAAAGGUUGCCUUGUUUUGCCCCAACUCGCCCAUUUUACAACCUUUCAUCCAAUGACCACCCGUUCAAAUGAAAUUUGUAUACCUUCUGAUUAAUGGUGUGGCAUUGUCUGUAAAGUACUGCCGGUCACAGGAACACCAGACACGUACGAUUACAUAUUUUGAAACAUCAGACGACUGAUUAGGGAACAACCGAGAAACCAUUGUGAUUUGAGCGAAGACCAGAGUCAAUUAGGCUAAUACACGAUUUUUAACCUAGUAUAAAUAUAUAAUUGUCAAAAGUAAAAGCGAAAAAGAUGUGAUGUAUGAAGAUAUGAAAAACAAUACCCAGUCCAAGAGCUGAAAGCUUAACAUCAUUGUGCUGCUGCAUAUACCUCUGCAAAUAGAAACAAAAUUAC